rnacentral:rRNA from 1 species
AGCAGCAGCCGCGGGAAUACAGAGGGUGCAAGCGUUAAUCGGAAUUACUGGGCGUAAAGCGCGCGUAGGUGGUUUGUUAAGUUGGAUGUGAAAUCCCCGGGCUCAACCUGGGAACUGCAUCCAAAACUGGCAAGCUAGAGUAUGGUAGAGGGUGGUGGAAUUUCCUGUGUAGCGGUGAAAUGCGUAGAUAUAGGAAGGAACACCAGUGGCGAAGGCGACCACCUGGACUGAUACUGACACUGAGGUGCGAAAGCGUGGGGAGCAAACAGGAUUAGAUACCCCGGUAGUCCCUGUCUCUUAUAA